rnacentral:rRNA from 1 species
GACGAACGCUGGCGGCGUGCUUAACACAUGCAAGUCGAACGGGAUUUAGUAGACAGAAGCCUCGGCUAAAGAUUACUAAUGAGAGUGGCGAACGGGUGAGUAACGCGUGAGCAACCUGCCUAUGACAGUGGGAUAGCCUCGGGAAACCGGGAUUAAUACCGCAUCAAAUCGUAGAAACACAUGUUUUAACGGUCAAAGAUUUAUCGGUCAUAGAUGGGCUCGCGUCUGAUUAGCUAGUUGGUGAGAUAACAGCCCACCAAGGCGACGAUCAGUAGCCGGUCUGAGAGGAUGAACGGCCACAUUGGAACUGAGACACGGUCCAAACUCCUACGGGAGGCAGCAGUGGGGAAUAUUGCACAAGGGGGGAAACCCUGAUGCAGCGACGCCGCGUGAACGAAGAAGGUAUUCGUAUCGUAAAGUUCUGUCCUAUGGGAAGAUAAUGACAGUACCAUAGAAGAAAGCGCCGGCUAAAUACGUG